rnacentral:rRNA from 1 species
UACGGGGGGGGCAAGCGUUGUUCGGAAUUACUGGGCGUAAAGGGCUCGUAGGCGGCCAACUAAGUCAGACGUGAAAUCCCCAGGCUCAACCUGGGAACUGCGUCUGAUACUGGAUGGCUUGAAUCCGGGAGAGGGAUGCAGAAUUCCCGGUGUAGUGGUGAAAUGCGUAGAUAUCGGGAGGAACACCAGUGGCGAAGGCGACUUUCUGGUCUGUAACUGACACUGAGGCGCGAAAGCGUGGGGAGCGAACAGG